UAUUAGUAGAGAAGCGUGUGAGCCAGCUGCCAAGAAAAGCCGCUAUUGCUUCAUAAGUACCCGUACCGUAAACCGACACAGGUGGAUGAGGAGAGAAUCCUAAGGCCGGCGGGAGAAGUGUUGUUAAGGAACUCGGCAAAAUGACUCCGUAACUUCGGGAGAAGGAGUGCCACAGAGAUGUGGCCGCAGAGAAAUGGCCCAAGCAACUGUUUAGCAAAAACACAGGUCUAUGCAAAACCGAAAGGUGAGGUAUAUGGGCUGACGCCUGCCCGGUGCUGGAAGGUUAAGAGGAGAGGUUAGAGCAAUCGAAGCUUUGAAUUUAAGCCCCAGUAAACGGCGGCCGUAACUAUAACGGUCCUAAGGUAGCGAAAUUCCUUGUCGGGUAAGUUCCGACCCGCACGAAAGGCGUAAUGAUUUGAGCACUGUCUCAACAACACACCCGGUGAAAUUGAAAUACCAGUGAAGAUGCUGGUUACCUGCGCCAGGACGGAAAGACCCCAUGGAGCUUUACUCCAGUUUGAUACUGGGAUUCGGUACUGUCUGUACAGGAUAGGUGGGAGGCUAGGAAAUGGUGACGCCAGUUGCCAUGGAGCCAACCUUGGGAUACCACCCUUACAGUACUGGGUUUCUAACCUGCAGCCGUAACCCGGCUGGGGGACAAUGUCUGACGGGGAGUUUGACUGGGGCGGUCGCCUCCGAAAGAGUAUCGGAGGCGCUCAAAGGUUCCCUCAGAACGGUUGGAAACCGUUCGAAGAGUGCAAAGGCAGAAGGGAGCUUGACUGCGACACCGACGGGUGGAGCAGAUACGAAAGUAGGACUUAGUGAUCCGGUGGUAUAAAGUGGGAUUGCCAUCGCUCAACGGAUAAAAGCUACCCUGGGAUAACAGGCUUAUCACUCCCAAGAGUUCACAUCGACGGAGUGGUUUGGCACCUCGAUGUCGGCUCAUCGCAUCCUGGAGCUGUAGCAGGUUCCAAGGGUUGGGCUGUUCGCCCAUUAAAGCGGUACGCGAGCUGGGUUCAGAACGUCGUGAGACAGUUCGGUCCCUAUCCGGCGUGGGCGUAGGAUAUUUGAGAGGAGCUGUCCUUAGUACGAGAGGACCGGGAUGGACAAACCUCUGGUGUAUCUGUUGUUUUACCAAAGGCAUGGCAGAGUAGCCAAGUUUGGCAGGGAUAAACGCUGAAGGCAUCUAAGCGUGAAGCCCCCCUCAAGAUAAGAUAUCCCAUCUUCGGAGUAAGACCCCUUGAAGACUACAAGGUUGAUAGGCUUUGUGUGUAAGUGCGGUAACGCACUCAGCUGAGAAGUACUAAUAGGUCGAGGACUUAUCU
rnacentral:rRNA from 1 species